rnacentral:rRNA from 1 species
CCCUUAGACGCUCUGGGCCGCACGCGCGCUACACUGACGAAGGCAACGAGCUUUCCUUUACCGAAAGGUACGGGUAAUCUUUUGAAACUUCGUCGUGCUGGGGAUAGAUCCUUGCAAUUUUUGAUCUUAAACGAGGAAUGCCUAGUAAGCGCAAGUCAUCAACUUGCGUUGAUUACGUCCCUGCCCUUUGUACACACCGCCCGUCGCUACUACCGAUUGAAUGGUUUAGUGAGGCCUUCGGAUCCGCGACUCGUUUGUGGAGAAGUUGGACAAACUCAGUCAUUUAGAGGAAGUAAAAGUCGUAACA